GAUGAACGCUGGCGGCGUGCCUAAUACAUGCCAGUCGAGCGGACGGACGAGAAGCUUGCUUCUCUGAUGUUAGCGGCGGGCGGGUGAGUAACACGUGGAUAACCUCCCUAUAUGACUGGGAUAACUACGGAACACCGUAUCUAAUACCGUAGAAUAUUUUGAACCGCAGGGUUGAAAAGUGAAAUACGGUCUUGCUGUCACUUAUAGAUGGAUACGCGCUGCAUGAGCUAGUUGGUAAGUUACAGGCCUUCCAAGGGAACGAUGCAUAGCCGACCGGAUAGGGGGGUCGGCCACAUGAGAACUGAGCCACGGUCCAGGCUCCUACGAGAGGCAGCAGUAGGGAAUGGUACGCAAUAGGGGAAAGCAUGACGGAGCAAGGCCGCGUGAGAGAUGAAGGUCUUCGGAUCGUAAUACUCUGUUAUUAGGGAAGAACAUAUGUGUAAGUAACUGUGCACAGCUUGACGGUACCUAAUCAGAAAGCCACGGCUAACUACGUG
rnacentral:rRNA from 1 species